rnacentral:misc_RNA from 1 species
UAAUAAGUGUUUUAUGGCACUUUUUAAAUCCAUAUUCACCUUGUGUGCAAUGUCAGUCGAUCUUCUUCAUGGAGAUCGACCAAACAUCAACCUUUAUCUUUUAACUCUUUGUCUGAAAAAUAUUAUGAAUAAACAAUUCAAAAUA